GCGGUGUGGUCGGUGCCAGACGUGUGGUGUCUGACGCUCUGGGGAACGCUCCCCGACCACUGCUCCUCCUCGUUUGCGAGUGUCAAGGUUCUUCCCGAUGUCCGUCGCCCAAAGAGCAAGAGGAAGCAGAGUGUUUGAGCGCCCACGCGAGCUGUGCCCCCGCGUGACCUUGUAGUGCAGCGUGGAGUGCUCUGGAGAGAAAGGAAGGUGGCGGCGGCAGCUUCACUCUCCAACACCUUGAGUCUCCCAUACCUCCGUCAAGAGCACAGGCACUCUCCCACUGCCCACCCCGACACGCGCCAUACCUCAGGCAGUCUCUCCAUCUCGACCACCCCGCAAGUCACACUUCCUCCCCGCCAGUUGUCACUGAAACACUCCUCUAUGCUUAUUAUCUCUACAUACCUCGCAACACUCGCUGAUAAGUAGUGGCUGAAAAUCUGAAUCGUGCGGGAACAGUAUCGCGUAGGAGGAAACAACCGAGGAUCUGUACUGUCGAUCUUGGGACGAUAAUUCAGCAGUGCGAAUGAGGAUGUUCCUCGCUUUCCCAGUGUGGUGGGCGACAGUUGUGGUGGCUGCGGGUGCGGCUGCCCAACCCGACGCAGGUUACGGCCUCCCGCCAAGUUACUCCUACGGCAAGCAGCCCGCCAACGUACCCGACCCACACUUCCAAAAAGUCUACG